CCCUUCACUACGGAAUAGCCUCUGGAAACGGAGAGUAAUACCGUAUGCGCCCUUCGGGGAAAGAUUUAUCGGUGAAGGAUUAGCCCGCGUCUGAUUAGAUAGUUGGUGGGGUAACGGCCUACCAAGUCGACGAUCAGUAGCUGGUUUGAGAGGAUGAUCAGCAACACUGGGACUGAGACACGGCCCAGACUCCUACGGGAGGCAGCAGUGGGGAAUCUUAGACAAUGGGCGCAAGUGAUCUAGCCAUGCCGCGUGAGUGACGAAGGCCUUAGGGUCAUAAAGCUCUUUCGCCAGGGAUGAUAAUGACAGUACCUGGUAAAGAAACCCCGGCUAACUCCGUGCCAGCAGCCGCGGUAAUACGGAGGGGGUUAGCGUUGUUCGGAAUUACUGGGCGUAAAGCGCGCGUAGGGGAUUGGAAAGUUGGGGGUGAAAUCCCGGGGCUCAACCCCGAGCUGCCUCCAAAACUAUCAGUCUAGAGUUCGAGAGAGGUGAGUGGAAUUCCAAGUGUAGAGGUGAAAUUCGUAGAUAUUUGGAGGAACACCAGUGGCGAAGCGGCUCACUGGCUCGAUACUGACGCUGAGGUGCGAAAGUGUGGGGAGCAAACAGGAUUAGAUACCCUGGUAGUCCACACCGUAAACGAUGAAUGCCAGACGUCGGGGGG
rnacentral:rRNA from 1 species